ACGAUCAGUAGGGGUUCUGAGAGGAAGGUCCCCCACAUUGGAACUGAGACACGGUCCAAACUCCUACGGGAGGCAGCAGUGAGGAAUAUUGGUCAAUGGACGAGAGUCUGAACCAGCCAAGUAGCGUGCAGGAUGACGGCCCUAUGGGUUGUAAACUGCUUUUAUAAGGGAAUAAAGUGAGUCUCGUGAGACUUUUUGCAUGUACCUUAUGAAUAAGGACCGGCUAAUUCCGUGCCAGCAGCCGCGGUAAUACGGAAGGUCCGGGCGUUAUCCGGAUUUAUUGGGUUUAAAGGGAGCGUAGGCCGGAGAUUAAGCGUGUUGUGAAAUGUAGACGCUCAACGUCUGCACUGCAGCGCGAACUGGUUUCCUUGAGUACGCACAAAGUGGGCGGAAUUCGUGGUGUAGCGGUGAAAUGCUUAGAUAUCACGAAGAACUCCGAUUGCGAAGGCAGCUCACUGGAGCGCAACUGACGCUGAAGCUCGAAAGUGCGGGUAUCGAACAGGAUUAGAUACCCUGGUAGUCCGCACGGUAAACGAUGGAUGCCCGCUGUUGGUCUGAAUAGGUCAGCGGCCAAGCGAAAGCAUUAAGCAUCCCACCUGGGGAGUA
rnacentral:rRNA from 1 species